AUCAAUACCUCGUUGAUACGGGGGUGGAUCCGAAGCCUCUAGAAGGUUAACAUAGGCUCUCUACCUCUUACUCCUACUCAACACGUCCCCGUCGUACAGAACGGUAACAUGUCUCUUAACUAUCCAAGCUUGGGUAUACGGGGAAACCCAACCCCUUUGGGGGAAUGGGUUGCAUGGCUAAAUUGAGAGGG
rnacentral:ribozyme from 1 species